CAACGGAAGAAUAAGAACUUACUACAUACGCCGCCGGCGGAGUACGCCGCCGGAACUGUCCGAUCAAAGCCCUAAGUCAAUCUCUCGCACAAUAUUAGAAGAAAGUGAGGAGGACCUACUUUGAACACGUGCAUAUCCUUCUCCAUUGCGACUAUUUUCCAGUGGGUUUGGGAUUCCUCUGAGUUCCCUUAAUCAAAUUGAAUGCAGGCGAUGGUUCAUUCAAGCUCUCAGGUUACCUGAUGUUUACACAGUGAAGGUCCUUCAAUUUUUGUAUAUCAAUUCAAGAUUUGUUUGCAAAGGACCAAUACAUAAAUUACUCAAUAACAUAACGACGAGUUUUGACAGUGCUUCUGAAACUUGCUGAGACAGCUGGAUCGUCAACCGUAUCCUAUCAGUGAAUCAGGUCCUGAAUGGCUUGCAGAAGUGAAAGGAAAAUUGCAUUGUAGGAAAUAUCUGAGUUGGAACUCCAUUUAAUGGUAUGUUUAAGAGAAAAUUGCAAUUAUUAAUGAUAUCUUUUCAUUUGUUAGAAGCUCAUGGCUGACCGACUACUAUCCCUCUUGUCAACAUGAGAAAAUUUCAAAGUUAGGUUCGUGGAGUAGGAGUUCUGAGGAUAUUUCCUGUCUGGUUUACUUCUAAAGCUGUAUUUUGAUUUGAUUGAUCAUUUGGUUUGGUUAUAUAAUCUCUCUUGUAUUCUCCGAAAGAGUCUCCGCUAAGAAUUUCCCUUGCACAUCCCUGUUGCUCCUUCAAUAUUUUUGAUACUGAAAGUGGUCCGUCUUUGAUACACCAGCUAACUUGAGGACGAUUCAGGUCUGGUUUUUUCCAUUUUGUUCAUUUUCUUAUGGUGAGGAUGACCUGAUUUGCACACGUGCUUCUUCUUCUCAUUGCUGCUGUUGUCCAGUGGGUAUUCCUCCAAGUUCCCUUAACAAAUUCAAUUCAAGCAUAGGGGCAUUCAAGCUUUCAGGAUACAUCUCAGGUCCUGAUGUUUACACAGUGGAAGUAUACAUGCAUGGAUAAAGAGCUGUUAUAAGUAUCAAUUCAAGAUUUGUUUCCAAAAAGGACCAGUACAAGAAUCACUUAAUAACAUAGCUAUGAGUUUGGACAGUGCUUCUGACAUUGAGCAGCGAAGUAGAUAUAUUCACUGUUUCUGUUGAACCUAAACUACCCAAGAUAAAUUUGUUUUGAUCCGACUUUGUGGAACCUAGAUGAUAUGCAUGCUUUCCCUGCAAGCUUUGGCCUUAAAGGAGAGGCUCUGGGCUCCACUUCUGAUGUUUCUUUGUUGGAAAUUGUUACUAAAAGUCACGGGAGGCCAGAUGGAUAUCGUAAUUUUUUGAAGGGCAGAUUUUGUAGACAAGAUGUUGGUGCAACAGGGAAUUAUGUAUAAGCCUAUCUCAUACAGGAGUUGAUUGUUGUUUGCUAGUAAGGAAAUUUGUUGAGAUUUUUCUCUUUGCGGUUGUUGUUCAUGAUGUAGUUUUACAACCAACUAGUUCGAAGGAACCAAAUGCACUCCAAGUACUUCUAGUAUGCUCACAAUUCAAACAAAUAAAAAUAUUGAUUUACUUACUUUACUUCUAAAGCUAUAUUGAUCUUUUAGUUUUCAUAUAUAAUCUUGAAGCCCAAAGAAGGUCUUGCUUUCUCUUAAAGUGUCUCUGCUAAAAAUCUCCCUUGUGCAUUCCAGUAUCUCCUUCAAAAUUGUUGAUAUUGAAAGGUGUGUAUGUUGUACCACUAACUUUAGGUUUCUACCUAUCUGGUUUCUUACAUUUUGUUGUUCAUUUGCAUGUCGUGAGGAUGACCUGCUUUGCACACAUGCUUCUCCUUCCCCAUUGCCGCUAUUGUCUAGUAUAACGGCCCAAAUUGAUGGAUAAAAGAUGUGGAAAAGGAGGUUCGGGCUCAGAGUUGCAAAGCUUCACUUUCUUCCCUGCAGCCAAAGAAACUUACUGGAGAGUGCAUUCAGUAGAGAGAUUCAAUCUUCACAGAAUAUUCUGUGCAGAAGUGCUUCUGAAAAGCAUGAUCCGGAGUCCAGAUUCCUCUGUCAGAGCAAAAGUUCAAGUCGAUCAAUUGGCUCUCCUGCUCAUUGCACAGCUGGCGUGAACUGGAGGAAAUCCAAAAGCUCUGUGCAACCCCUUUCAUCUAAUAUUUUACCUAGAGAGGAUGAUUUCCUGGAUAACAAAUUCAGUGCUUCAGCUAGAUCCAAUUAUAAAUCUGACUGUGAGGCAGGUUCAUGAUGGGAGGAUAUGAUUUUCAAACAAUUGUAGCUGGCAGUUCAAGAGAGGAUGCUUAUUUAGGGUAUCACUUGAACUUGAUGACAGUUAAAUGUGAUGCAUGAGAGAAGGAAAACAUUUAUGUGGAGCUGUUCUUAAUUUGCACAAAAGCCUGAAACGUGAUGGAUCAUCUCUUGAUAGUGAUGAAGAUCUUAAGUUCGAUAAAAGUAACUAUAGAAAUAAUCAAAAUCACCCUGAAGAUGAUUAUAGUGUUGAAUUUGAAGUUGCUGAUGAUGUUAACCUUGUCUUAAAUCUAAUGUCUCCUAGAGUCGAGGAAAUAUAUUUUGAGAAACUUCUCCUGGUUAGAAACUCAGAGCAAGGCAUUGGAGAGGCUAAAAUUUGCCUGGAGAUUCAGAAAAACUUUAUUAACCAAGAACAUUCUGGAUAAAGAUGAUCAUCUUAUGAAUUUCAUUAGACAGAACAAAAAUUAUGGUUCUGGCCUGCUAUCUUUUAGUCCAGAACUGUCUCCUCUGCCACCAGAUCCUUUGCUCGUGACCAGGUUUCAACAUUCAUUGUCAAGCUUCAAUAUCAUUUAUCAGGGGAGAAAAUCAGUAAUGGGGAAAAAGAAAAAAGGAAGUUAUAAGGAAGCUCUUCAAAUAAGCAGAUGGCCCCCUAAUGAACUUCAAUCAGUUCCAGAGAGUAGCACCAAUGGAGACAAGGAUUCUCUGAGGAGAAGUCUGGUUGGCAGCUUCCCAGAUUGCGAUGAGAUACCUUCUCGUAAAAAUGUUAGAAAAGCCGCGCAGAACACAUGGAGUGGCAUCCACAACAUACAAGUAUUUUAGUUGGUAAUACCCACUGGGAUAAGGUAUAAGACUACUAAUUUGGUCUUCGUUUUUUCCAUUGUUUACAGGAAGGGGCAAGUGUUUCUACCUUGGAAUUGAUGAAUGUAGACAAAAUGUUGGUACAACAGCUAAUUCUGCAUAAGCCUACCUCCAAACAAAGAGAGUCUUGCAUUCUCUGAAAGAGUCUUUACUAAGAAUCGCCCUUGUGCACUCCUACAAAUUUGUUGAUAUUGAAAGGUCCUUCUUUGUUAUUGCAGCUAACUUAAGGAUAUUUCCUGUUUAGUUUCUUUUGAUUUUGUCCAUUUGC